AUGAGUGCCGAGGCAGGCAAUGGGAAGGAGGAAGCCAGAAAGACAGGUUUGGAGGGCACCAGACUGCCCCUUCCAGGUGGCUCCCAUGGCAGCGUGCGAUGCGCUGGCAGCGACCCGCAGUUGAGACACAUGCUUGAUUCCCUCAAAUCCUCCAAGGCUUCUGCUGUGAUCAACUAUGGCGCCUCAUGGUGCGGUGUUUGCAAUCAGAUUCUUCCACCCUUCUGCAAAUUCAGCAAUGAAUUCAAGAAUCUUAGUUUCAUCUAUGCCCAUGUUGAUGAGUGCCCCGAAACAACUCAGAACAUACGAUACACUCCGACCUUCCAUUUUUACCGGGAUGGAGAAAGGGUGGAUGAGAUGUUUGGUGCAGGGGAAGAGAGGCUACGGGAUCGAUUGUGGUUGCAUUCAUGA
rnacentral:rRNA from 1 species